AACCUCCGCAAUGUGAGAAAUCGCGACGGGGGGAUCCCAAGUGCCAUUCUUAACGGGAUGGCUUUUCAUUAGUGUAAAGAGCUUUUGGAAUAAGAGCUGGGCAAGACCGGUGCCAGCCGCCGCGGUAACACCGGCAGCUCUAGUGGUAACAAUUUUUAUUGGGCCUAAAGCGUCCGUAGCCGGUUUAAUAAGUCUCUGGUGAAAUCCUGUAGCUUAACUGUGGGAAUUGCUGGAGAUACUAUUAGACUUGAGACCGGGAGAGGUUAGAGGUACUCCCAGGGUAGAGGUGAAAUUCUGUAAUCCUGGGAGGACCGCCUGUUGCGAAGGCGUCUAACUGGAACGGUUCUGACGGUGAGGGACGAAAGUUAGGGGCGCGAACCGGAUUAGAUACCCGGGUAGUCCUAACUGUAAACGAUGCGGACUUGGUGUUGGGGUGGCUUUGAGCUGCUCCAGUGCCGAAGGGAAGCUGUUAAGUCCGCCGCCUGGGAAGUACGGUCGCAAGACUGAAACUUAAGGAAUUG
rnacentral:rRNA from 1 species